GCCUCGGUAGCUCGGUGGUUGGUUAGCGCGUCGAUCUAGCAACUCGGGGAUCGUGGGUUCGAAUCUCCACCUCGGAUG